rnacentral:lncRNA from 1 species
GAACAACUCCCUUCUUCACAAUCAUCUCAAUGGGCUCCUUUGGACCAUCAGUCAGGCACAAAGAAAUCUCUCAUUUGUGGCGUGCAGAUAAGAUUCUGUGAAGAAAUCACUUUUAUUUUUAAUUUUGACUAUGAAAACUGGUACAACACAAGCCACAGAAACCUGGCAUGACUGUCAUCUGAGAGGCUCUACCAGGAGCUGACUGAGACAUAUGCAGAUACUUGUAGCCAACCAUUGGAAUAAGGAGGAAUUGGGAAGUCUUGUGUUUACAGACACAGAAGAACAGCAGCACUACUUGGAUGGCAAGGCAAGAGGAUCACUACAAGUUCAAGGCCAACCUGAGUUACUUAAGUGACUUUCAAACUAGACCGGAUUGCUGUGUGAGACCCUUUCUCAAAACAAAGAUAUUGUGGAUUUAAUACAAAUUGAGUUUUUAAAGCCACUGAAUGCGAAGAGGAUAUAAAACAAAACAAAAGGAAAAUCUCAGCCCAUUUCUGACACUUCCAUAAACCGAAUUUGUGGGUUUGAAUUGCUUCUAUUGGGAGAUGUGCAGUCCCAUGUUCUUUCUAUGAUUGAGUAAACUGCCAAAUAUAUGUCUAUGUGCUUUUAUAUAGUGAGCAGUGACAUCUAAGGGAAUAUUGUAUCUUCAACACUAAACCUUGAAGUUUCUUGAGCUAUAGAAUGUCACAGCCCUGCACAUUCUCCAAGCAAGACUUCAAAAAUAUCCAAAUGUACUUUUAUUUCUCUAGAGUUCAUUUUAAUUAGAAAACAAGCUAGGAUUGUGUUAAAAAUGGU